UUUGAUUUGUUGUUGUUUGCUUGAGUUGAUUCUCUGAAAUAGAUGAUGGUUGAUAGUAUAAUCCUUGAUUAUAAUUGCCGGUAUGAGUACUGCCAAGGUUUUAAAUAAAGGAACGUUACCGCGAAAUCGGCCGUUACAAAACGGUUAUUGGCCGAUUUAACGGUGAGAAAAAAGAUCACAGUGAAACGUUGUUACAUAACACCGUUAUUACGACCUCGAAACAUGCUGUUACAGCCGUAAAACACUUUACAGAUGUGAAAACUUUAGAUUUGUUCCUUUUGUUAAUUUGGGUGUUGUUCUAGAAGUGUAAUAGAGAUAAUAUGA
rnacentral:lncRNA from 1 species